UACGUAGGGUGCAAGCGUUGUCCGGAAUUAUUGGGCGUAAAGAGCUCGUAGGCGGUUCGUCGCGUCGGCUGUGAAAACCCGGAGCUCAACUCCGGGCCUGCAGUCGAUACGGGCGGACUUGAGUGUUGCAGGGGAGACUGGAAUUCCUGGUGUAGCGGUGAAAUGCGCAGAUAUCAGGAGGAACACCGGUGGCGAAGGCAGAUCUCUGGGCCGUAACUGACGCUGAGGAGCGAAAGCAUGGGGAGCGAACAGG
rnacentral:rRNA from 1 species